CAAGGUUUCCGUAGGUGAACCUGCGGAAGGAUCAUUAACGAAUAUCUAUGGCGUUGGUUGUAGCUGGCUCYUAGGAGCAUUUUGUGCACGCCCGUCAUUCAUAUCAUCUUUCCACCUGUGAGCUAUGUGUAGGCCUGGAUACCCCUCGYUUUGGCAACAARGCGGAUGCAAGGAUUGCUGUGUCGACAAGGCCGGCUCUCUUUGAAUUUCCAGGUUCUAUGUCUUUUACACACCCCAUUUGAAUGAUGUAGAAUGUAGUCAAUGGGCUUUCAUGCCUAUAAAACACUAUACAACUUUCAGCAACGGAUCUCUUGGCUCUCGCAUCGAUGAAGAACGCAGCGAAAUGCGAUAAGUAAUGUGAAUUGCAGAAUUCAGUGAAUCAUCGAAUCUUUGAACGCACCUUGCGCUCCUUGGUAUUCCGAGGAGCAUGCCUGUUUGAGUGUCAUUAAAUUCUCAACCUCACCAGUUUUGUAACGAGACCGGUGAAGGCUUGGAUGUGGGGGUUUUGCAGGCUGCCUCAGUGCUGGUCUGCUCCCCUGAAAUGCAUUAGCGAGCUCAUAYUGAGCUUCCGUCUAUUGGUGUGAUAAUUAUCUACGCCGUGGAUUGAACUCAUGCUUGCUUCUAACCGUCCGCAAGGACAAUUUACUUGACCAAUUUGACCUCAAAUCAGGUAGGACUACCCGCUGAACUUAAGCAU
rnacentral:rRNA from 1 species